AAGUACCUAGAAAUACCCUAAAAAUUCAAAAUCGGUAUUAGAAACCCUUUUCGGCCAAUUUUGAGAUUCUGGCACGGCAGUGCUGCCAUGCUUCGGUGACGGCACUUUGCCUCAGGUUGGCCAUUUUUGGCCAGUUUCGGCUGAUUUCGGCUAGUUUUGUGCUCAUUUAUGCAAGAAAAUACGUUAAGGGACUUUGGUUAGCCGAAAAAAGUCAAAAAAUAGAAACUUACCGACAGUGAAAUUUUUCGGUGCGGUAGCUCCGCCAGCUCGCCUUAGCGGUUAGGCGUUUUUCUUUGAUCAACUUGUGGGAAACAAGAUGGUGAAUAUAAUGAUGGAAAAAUUACACAAAACGGGAAUCGAGAAUGGCCUCAUCAGAGGCAGUUUUUGAUAUUUUCUGCGACGGCACCGCCAAACUUUACCUGCAGUUUCUGUCUCAUCUGAUAGUCUAUUUGCUCCGAUUUAGCCAUGGGAGUGUUCGAAAUCAAAUUUCGAGCAAAUGAAAAAAUCUUUACCUCUUUUGACUGUUAGAGGUAGCUCCGGCACGGCGGCGGGUGGCGGUCGGCUCCGUUCCCGGUGACUGGUUCUUCUUCUUUGGUGGGGGGUCUGGUGGCUUGGGUUAGAGUUUGGUGUGGGGUGAGGUAUUUAUAUCUGUCUCUUUUAGUUUAGAUCAUCCAUCGAUUUGAUCUGGACCGUCCGAUUGCGUUUAAAUAGGAAGUGAAUCUAAACCAUUCAUCGUGAUUUCAUCUGGACCUUACGAUCGCGUUUAAAGAAGGAACAAAUCUAGACCGUCCACACGCGCAG
rnacentral:lncRNA from 1 species